AGUGAACGCUGGCGGUAGGCCUAACACAUGCAAGUCGAACGGCAGCACAGUAAGAGCUUGCUCUUACGGGUGGCGAGUGGCGGACGGGUGAGGAAUACAUCGGAAUCUACUUUUUCGUGGGGGAUAACGUAGGGAAACUUACGCUAAUACCGCAUACGACCUACGGGUGAAAGCAGGGGAUCUUCGGACCUUGCGCGAUUGAAUGAGCCGAUGUCGGAUUAGCUAGUUGGCGGGGUAAAGGCCCACCAAGGCGACCAUCCGUAGCUGGUCUGAGAGGAUGAUCAGCCACACUGGAACUGAGACACGGUCCAGACUCCUACGGGAGGCAGCAGUGGGGAAUAUUGGACAAUGGGCGCAAGCCUGAUCCAGCCAUACCGCGUGGGUGAAGAAGGCCUUCGGGUUGUAAAGCCCUUUUGUUGGGAAAGGAAAGCAGCAGGUUAAUACCCCGCUGUUCUGACGGUACCCAAAGAAUAAGCACCGGCUAACUUCGUG
rnacentral:rRNA from 1 species